UACGUAGGGUGCGAGCGUUGUCCGGAAUUAUUGGGCGUAAAGAGCUCGUAGGCGGUUUGUCGCGUCUGUCGUGAAAGCCCACGGCUUAACUGUGGGUCUGCGGUGGAUACGGGCAGACUAGAGGCAGGUAGGGGAGAAUGGAAUUCCCGGUGUAGCGGUGAAAUGUGUAGAGAUCGGGAGGAACACCGGUGGCGAAGGCGGUUCUCUGGGACGGUACUGACGCUGAGACGCGAAAGCGUGGGGAGCGAACAGG
rnacentral:rRNA from 1 species